GACGAACGCUGGCGGCGUGCUUAACACAUGCAAGUCGAGCGGUAAGGCCCUUUCGGGGGUACACGAGCGGCGAACGGGUGAGUAACACGUGGGUGACCUGCCCUUAGCUCUGGGAUAAGCCUGGGAAACUGGGUCUAAUACCGGAUAUGACUCCAUAACGCAUGUUGUGGGUGGAAAGCCUUGUGCGGCUAGGGAUGGGCCCGCGGCCUAUCAGCUUGUUGGUGGGGUGAUGGCCACCAAGGCGACGACGGGUAGCCGGCCUGAGAGGGCGACCGGCCACACUGGGACUGAGACACGGCCCAGACUCCUACGGGAGGCAGCAGUGGGGAAUCUUGCGCAAUGGGCG
rnacentral:rRNA from 1 species